UACGGAGGAUCCAAGCGUUAUCCGGAAUCAUUGGGUUUAAAGGGUCCGUAGGCGGGUUUGUAAGUCAGUGGUGAAAGUCUGCAGCUCAACUGUAGAACUGCCAUUGAUACUGCAUACCUUGAGUAAUUAUGAAGUGGUUAGAAUAUGUAGUGUAGCGGUGAAAUGCAUAGAUAUUACAUAGAAUACCGAUUGCGAAGGCAGAUCACUAAUAAUUUACUGACGCUGAUGGACGAAAGCGUAGGUAGCGAACAGG
rnacentral:rRNA from 1 species